GGGAAACUGCCUGAUGGAGGGGGAUAACUACUGGAAACGGUGGCUAAUACCGCAUAACGUCGCAAGACCAAAGAGGGGGACCUUCGGGCCUCUCACUAUCGGAUGAACCCAGAUGGGAUUAGCUAGUAGGCGGGGUAAUGGCCCACCUAGGCGACGAUCCCUAGCUGGUCUGAGAGGAUGACCAGCCACACUGGAACUGAGACACGGUCCAGACUCCUACGGGAGGCAGCAGUGGGGAAUAUUGCACAAUGGGCGCAAGCCUGAUGCAGCCAUGCCGCGUGUAUGAAGAAGGCCUUCGGGUUGUAAAGUACUUUCAGCGGGGAGGAAGGCGAUGCGGUUAAUAACCGCGUCGAUUGACGUUACCCGCAGAAGAAGCACCGGCUAACUCCGUGCCAGCAGCCGCGGUAAUACGGAGGGUGCAAGCGUUAAUCGGAAUUACUGGGCGUAAAGCGCACGCAGGCGGUCUGUUAAGUCAGAUGUGAAAUCCCCGGGCUUAACCUGGGAACUGCAUUUGAAACUGGCAGGCUUGAGUCUUGUAGAGGGGGGUAGAAUUCCAGGU
rnacentral:rRNA from 1 species